AUUGAACGCUGGCGGCAUGCCUUACACAUGCAAGUCGAACGGCAGCACGGGGGCAACCCUGGUGGCGAGUGGCGAACGGGUGAGUAACACAUCGGAACGUGCCCAGUAGUGGGGGAUAGCUCGGCGAAAGCCGGAUUAAUACCGCAUACGACCUACGGGUGAAAGCGGGGGAUCGCAAGACCUCGCGCUAUCGGAGCGGCCGAUGUCAGAUUAGGUUGUUGGUGGGGUAAAGGCCUACCAAGCCGACGAUCUGUAGCUGGUCUGAGAGGACGACCAGCCACACUGGGACUGAGACACGGCCCAGACUCCUACGGGAGGCAGCAGUGGGGAAUUUUGGACAAUGGGCGCAAGCCUGAUCCAGCCAUGCCGCGUGCGGGAAGAAGGCCU
rnacentral:rRNA from 1 species